GUGGGGAAUAUUGGACAAUGGGCGAAAGCCUGAUCCAGCAAUGCCGCGUGAGUGAUGAAGGCCUUAGGGUUGUAAAGCUCUUUUACCCGGGAAGAUAAUGACUGUACCGGGAGAAUAAGCCCCGGCUAACUCCGUGUCAGCAGCCGCGGUAAUACGGAGGGGGCUAGCGUUGUUCGGAAUUACUGGGCGUAAAGCGCACGUAGGCGGUUUUGUAAGUUAGAGGUGAAAGCCCGGGGCUCAACCCCGGAAUAGCCUUUGAGACUGGAUUGCUAGAAUCCUGGAGAGGUGAGUGGAAUUCCGAGUGUAGAGGUGAAAUUCGUAGAUAUUCGGAAGAACACCAGUGGCGAAGGCGGCUCACUGGACAGGUAUUGACGCUGAGGUGCGAAAGCGUGGGGAGCAAACAGGAUUAGAUACCCGAGUAGUCC
rnacentral:rRNA from 1 species